CAGUAGCCGCGGGAAUACAGAGGGUGCGAGCGUUAAUCGGAUUUACUGGGCGUAAAGCGUGCGUAGGCGGCUUUUUAAGUCGGAUGUGAAAUCCCUGAGCUUAACUUAGGAAUUGCAUUCGAUACUGGUUAGCUAGAGUGUGGGAGAGGAUGGUAGAAUUCCAGGUGUAGCGGUGAAAUGCGUAGAGAUCUGGAGGAAUACCGAUGGCGAAGGCAGCCAUCUGGCCUAACACUGACGCUGAGGUACGAAAGCAUGGGGAGCAAACAGGAUUAGAUACCCCCGUAGUCCCUGUCUCUUAUAC
rnacentral:rRNA from 1 species